ensembl:lncRNA
UAGUAAUAAUUACGCUUCAUAAUAUAAAUAUUAGAUGAUGAUUAAUUCAAAGAUAAUAAAUACAACAAUAACUGAUUCAUUUGUUCUUCUGAAGGUCUGACAGGGAGCUCAGCAAGAGAGCAGCAUGUAAACAAAGACUAAAUUACCUGACAGAGGAGCUCAGGAUCUGAAUUACACAUCAACAAACACUCGAACAAUGACUUAAAUACAUCAAGUACUGCUAGACGUGUGCUAGUGAUUUUACACGAGAAAUACACUGGAAGAUGACUUACAGAAUCAAGCAGCAUUUAUAUUGUGACGCUUGACUGGAUCUUUGAGGAGGAUGUGAGUUUCUGUCUGGAGAUCUGGACGAUCAUGAGGUUAUAUUCACACCUACAAAAUCAAACAUCACAAUUUUAUAAACCAAAGUAAAAUGGGUUGGUGUGAGAGAUUGAUCACUGAUUAUACAUAGUAAAACGUGACUGAUUAUUUGUAUUUAUAAAAAGUGUAAAUGCUAAAUUUAUGGAGUUAUAACUACUAACCAUUUAGAUUUUGUCUAUGGACAGUUUUUACUGAUUAAUAUAACAAGCACAUUUUCCUGAUCAGCUUGAUCAACUCGUUUAGAGCUACAUCAGGACCACAGAGAGAAAACCAGUGUUUUUUCAUGAGAUUUGAUUUACACAGGUCAUUCAGAUAUGAAUAAUGAGUGAAAACUUAGAUGAUGUGAGAAAAUACUGUGAUCUGUUUAAUAAGAAGCUUGGUUUCUAAGAGUAACUAAACAUUUGAUUUUGCUUUGCAAAAUGGAUCAAGUUUUUGAAGUGCUCAAAAUGCUGACAUCUGCUGGUCAAGACGCUGUAAAUACAAGGACACAGCCAAAAAAAAAAAGUAAAAUAACACUUUCCACAAACCAACUUCAUGUUUUCAUUAAAGUGUAAUUGUUUAAAUGUAAUCUACAGUUAAAAACAGUUAACUAUCACUCCCCCUUUUUAAACUGAACCUACAUUAUAAAAUUUUUCCGGUGCGUCAUUUAUUCAUGCAGAUGUACUCAUAUCCACAAGGGGGACCUGCCAACCCUGCUGAAAAAAACAAUAGAACCAAUCAUAGAAUUUGUAAUAGUUACUGGUUAUAAUGGGAAUUGUACUGUUUUUAAUGCAAACUGUAAUGGUGCCUCUUGGUCGCCUUCAAUUAGUGGCUUGUUAAAACCACUAAAUCCUAAUGGAAU